UGCCAAUAUUCUUGUAAUGCUUUUUAUAUAAAACAUCUCAAAUUACUGCUCAAUUUGAGCAAAUUCCGAAUACGUGAUUAAUAACAGCAAAUCCUGCUAUUAACCAGAUUUGUUUUUUAAAUUACAUUUGACAGCCUUAUUUUGCAUUGAACAAUCAAUAUAAUGGUCAAAACAUUGGGUUCUCAAGUGGGAGACCCGGGUUUUAAUCCCGCCAGAUACAAAAGCACACAUGUGAAAUUUAGACUAUCACGUGAAAUGUUGGGAAACCACGUGUCAUGUGAAACAUUUACAUGUGAGAAAUCUAUGUAAAACUUCACACGUGUCCGAAAACCACGCAUCUGACUCAUGUUCAUUUUUGGUUUUCACAUGUGACUUGUUCAGAUCCAAAAAAAUCUACAUGUAAAAAAUACAUGAAACUUCUCGUGUCCAAAAACCACGUGUCACAUGAUAUUUUUUUCAAGUGAACAUUUUCACAUGUGAUUUGUUCCUACAUGUGUCAGAUGAGAGGGUGAAUUAAAGUUUGAUCAUACAAGAUUGCAUGAAUGAGGCAAUAACAUGCACAUAAACAUACCAGCUAUAAACAGCAGCCAUGGUUACCUGAGGGAAUCUAAGGGGGAUAUCUCUAUCUGAUAGUACAAACUAGAAAACAAAGAAGGGAUUGAUGUCCUCGAUGCAUGUAUGGUGACAGCUUUAAUGCUUACGUCAAGUUGAACAAGGAAAUACAAAUAAAUCCCACACUUUGCUAACAGGAACUCCUGCUGUCCAGAAUGUUGUCCACCCAUGGCUAAACACAGAACUAUGGGUGAAAAAAUACAGGAAAGAGGUGGUGCUCCAGGUACAUCAGCAUGACUAACAUGCAAACGUUGUGUGCCCAUAAUGUACAUAUCGGCCCUCAGAAGGAAAGAUCCGGUUGGCAUAGAUCUACAAAUCUCAAAGAGGAUAGCACUUGAAUCACGGGAGGUGGACGGAUACACACGCCAUUGGACGAAAGGAAGAGAUGUGAAUGUUUACAUCUCGGGCAGAAAUCUGCCUCCCUGUGUUAUGACCAGAGACUCAGCCCUGUGAAAGAUGGCGCAGAUGGAUGUGAGGGAGACACCAUUCAGAGACAGACUAACAGACAGUUUCUCCUGCAUGCAUUCAAACAAGCGCAUGCACACACACACACACACACGAACCCACAAUCACAGAUGGGGGAAGAUACCACAGACGAGUGAUCUCUUCCACAGACCGACUAAAUAAGGCCCUCACAGAAACGUUCCCUGUGGCUCAGUUGGUAGAGCAUGGUGUUUGCAACGCCAGGGUUGUGGUUUCGGGUUCCCAUGGGGGGCCAGUACAAAAAUAAAAAAAAGAUACAAAAAAAAUGUUUGAAAUGUAUGCAUUCACUACUGUAAGUCGCUCUGGAUAAGAGCGUCUGCUAAAUGACUAAAAUGUAAACAAGCAAGGCGUGAAAAUUCCACUGCCAGUAAGUUUUGCUGUG
rnacentral:lncRNA from 1 species